rnacentral:rRNA from 1 species
AAUAUUGCGCAAUGGACGGAAGUCUGACUCAGCGACGCCGCGUGAGCGAUGAAGGCCUUCGGGUCGUAAAGCUCUGUCCUUGGGGAAGAAGGUCUUCGGACUUGACGGUACCCACGAAGAACGCCCCGGCUAACUACGUGCCAGCAGCCGCGGGAAUACGUAGGGGGCGAGCGUUGUCCGGAAUUACUGUGCGUAAAGGGUGUGUAGGCGGCCCUUUAAGUCAAAUGUGAAAGGCCACGGCUUAACCGUGGGAUUGCAUUUGAAACGGGAGGGCUUGAGUGUCGGAGAGGGUAGUGGAAUUCCCAGUGUAGCGGUGAAAUGCGUAGAUAUUGGGAGGAACACAGUGGCGAAGGCGACUACCUGGACGAUAACUGACGCUGAGGCACGAAAGCUAGGGGAGCAAAC